GUACUAAUAUAAGCGCCAGAACUAAGCUCGGACGAUAUGGCUUAGUUGACGAGGUGGAGGUUUAUCGAGAUUUCGGCGGAUGCCUCCCGGUUGUAUGUGUAUAGCCGCAAAAAUUUCGAUUUUAAAACAGCUGGGCAACUUGCUGCACAAAGGAUCGGAAAUACACAUAA
rnacentral:ncRNA from 2 species